UACGUAGGGUGCAAGCGUUGUCCGGAAUUAUUGGGCGUAAAGAGCUCGUAGGCGGUCUGUCGCGUCUGCUGUGAAAAUCCAGGGCUCAACCCUGGACCUGCAGUGGGUACGGGCAGACUAGAGUGUGGUAGGGGAGACUGGAAUUCCUGGUGUAGCGGUGAAAUGCGCAGAUAUCAGGAGGAACACCGAUGGCGAAGGCAGGUCUCUGGGCCACUACUGACGCUGAGAAGCGAAAGCAUGGGGAGCGAACAGG
rnacentral:rRNA from 1 species